AUCUUCCAUUCCAACCCAUGGAAAGAUUUUCUUCAUGGAGCUGAAAGUGAAGGAAAAAUCCAUGCAUCCAAAGACGAUUGUGUGCCUCCAACUUUGUUAGGAGAAGAACCGCAUAUAGAUGGGACAGUCAGGUUCAGGACGUCACACAGUUAUUGAGGGACCUGGACGCAUCAGGGGUCCUCAGGGGAUCUUUUUGACCCUGAUUUGAAUUGAAGUUCGACAGCGAGAGAGAGAAGAUGCGACGGGGCUGAGAUGAAAAUCAGUAAUUAUACAGAGAAAGGAAAUGAAGACACAAUUAUGAGCCGCUGCUUUACAACUCAGAAGAAAAGAUUCCAGACUUUCUGAGAAAUUCACUGAAAGUUCAGUCGACUUUUGGGAAUAAAGUGUUGUGUCUUCAUAUCUCUCAGCGUGUUCCUGUGUGUGAUGAUUAUUACACUCUCCUAACUGAGGCUGAUCACAGCUGUCCACAUGUGUGCACUGAAACAGCUGGAGGACACAUUCAGGAUUUAGUGGUAAAGUGGGUAAUCCUGCAGCAGAAACACAGUCUGCUUAUACAAAGUCCUCGUGUGUGUAUGAGGAACAGCCUCCAGCUCUGAAGGUGACAUGAUCUCGCUGUGGGGAGAAAAGAAGCUCUUGAGG